UUUUUGUUACUAGGUUAUGUUCUUCAUUGCUUUCCCAUGUUUCUCUGGAAAGGGAAAAAACACCAGUGUGAUCGAUUACUGAAUUUAUGAAUAUCUGGGAUUAACUAGGUUUGUGUAUUUAUGAGGUUUUCACGGAAGAAAGAUGUCCUCCAGAUUUAUCUUUCAAAGAUAGAAACAACCGCCUGGAGAUCCCUGAGUUGAAUGUCAGCUUACACACUAGGUGUGAAGCUCAAUCUGCUCCAGCCUUAGUGAUGUGGAUUGCCUUGGUAAUAUGUGUUUGUCGGCUGGACAGGCUGCCUGGUGUAUUGGCUUAGGUGC